UACGUAGGGUGCAAGCGUUGUCCGGAAUUAUUGGGCGUAAAGAGCUCGUAGGCGGUUUGUCGCGUCUGCUGUGAAAAACUCGGGGGCUUAACCCCGGGCCUGCAGUGGGUACGGGCAGACUAGAGUGCGGUAGGGGAGACUGGAAUUCCUGGUGUAGCGGUGAAAUGCGCAGAUAUCAGGAGGAACACCGGUGGCGAAGGCGGGUCUCUGGGCCGUAACUGACACUAAGGCGCGAAAGCGUGGGGAGCGAACAGG
rnacentral:rRNA from 1 species